GAUGAACGCUAGCGGCAGGCUUAACACAUGCAAGUCGAGGGGUAUUGGUUUUCGGACCAAGAGACCGGCGCACGGGUGCGUAACGCGUAUGCAAUCUACCUUUUGCAGAGGGAUAGCCCAGAGAAAUUUGGAUUAAUACCUCAUAGUAUAGUACUUUGGCAUCAAGGAACUAUUAAAGUCACAACGGCAAAAGAUGAGCAUGCGUCCCAUUAGCUAGUUGGUAAGGUAACGGCUUACCAAGGCUACGAUGGGUAGGGGUCCUGAGAGGGAGAUCCCCCCACACUGGUACUGAGACACGGACCAGACUCCUACGGGAGGCAGCAGUGAGGAAUAUUGGACAAUGGGGCGCAAGCCUGAUCCAGCCAUGCCGCGUGCAGGAUGACGGUCCUAUGGAUUGUAAACUGCUUUUAUACAGGAAGAAACACUCCGACGUGUCGGAGCUUGACGGUACUGUAAGAAUAAGGAUCGGCUAACUCCGUAGCCAGCAGCCGCGGUAA
rnacentral:rRNA from 1 species